CCUUUGACGUUAGCGGCGGACGGGUGAGUAACACGUGGGUAACCUACCUAUAAGACUGGGAUAACUUCGGGAAACCGGAGCUAAUACCGGAUAAUAUUUCGAACCGCAUGGUUCGAUAGUGAAAGAUGGUUUUGCUAUCACUCAUAGAUGGACCCGCGCCGUAUUAGCUAGUUGGUAAGGUAACGGCUUACCAAGGCGACGAUACGUAGCCGACCUGAGAGGGUUAUCGGCCACACUGGAACUGAGACACGGUCCAGACUCCUACGGGAGGCAGCAGGC
rnacentral:rRNA from 1 species